UUUCUCUUUUUUUCUGUUCAUAUUUGUCACUUCUAAAGAGACCAUAUUGCCUUCAUCACAUAUUGUAUGUUGCUUACUUAUUGGUACUUAUGCUCAUUCAUAUUGCCUUCAUCACAAAUCCCUAAUUUUUUUCUCCUAUUUUCUUAUUAUCUUUUACUUCAUUUUCUAUUGCCAUCCAUCUCAUCUCUUCAUCUUCUCCGCCUCUUUUCUUUCUCUUAUCUUUCUUUUUUUCCUUUAUUCUCCCUUUUUUCAUUCUUCAAAAACCUUUAACAAUGGUGGUCCUGAGCUAUACUGAAGAACAAGUGUUUGAAUGAAGAAAAAUGUAAGUUUUUGGUUAGAAUGGUAACUAGUUUUGGCAUAAUGUAUUUUCAUUGAACGCUGCACAAGUGGGGAAGAAAAUUUAAGAUGCCUCUCUAAUUUUCAUUGAACUGCAUUGUACACAAACAAAUAAAAAAAAAAAGAUGCUGAUAUAUUUGUGGUUCGGUGAAUAUGUUUGCCAUUGCAGGGGAUUCUAAAAUUUUAAUUAAAAUUAAUUGCAAAAAUAAAAUAUGAAAAUUGAAAAGAGAGUUAUUAUAAAACUAAUAUUAAAGAGAGUGAACAAUAUUAGAUUUUUUUGGCUGCUUAUCAUCUUGUCCUUCUUCAAAAGGAUUCUGACAGAAGAUGGGUAAUUGUCGUUUUUUAACUUUUUGAUAUAAAAUUGUUGGUAGCGUAAAGUUCGGGUGGGAGGAUAUCGUUUGGCCUUUUGAUAUUUUAACCCGUAUUGUCACAACUAAAUCUUGUGUCUUUGGUUCUUCCCUUGGUUGUUGGACCCUUCAUUUGCCCUACUAUGCCCUCAUCCGUUUACAUUUUCUCACUAUGAUAUUGAGUUUGUCCUCCCUUUGUUCAUUUUAAUGUUUUAAUUAUGAUUGAUUAUCCAAGUUUCAAAACAAUAAUGUGAAUAAUUUUAUGUAUAUAGGGAAUCGAGAUCAUAUAAUAUGGUCUGUGAUGAUGGAGUGUUUGUACAAAUCUUCCUUUUUGAAUAUCCUAAAUCCUAAUUUGAAGAGAAUGUAUAUUUCUUUAUCACUCAGAAUUGAUAAUUAAUGAAAUAUUUGAAUAUUUCCCAGCCAAAUACCUAGAAUUUGAACUACCAUCUGCAGAACGUUUUAAGGAGAUUAAAGCUUAUAAAAGACUUCGAAAUUCAUCAAAGAAGCUCUUGGAUUAUGGGUUUAAGUAUAAGUACGGCUUGACGAAAUGUUUGAUGGAGCAGUUCAAUGUUGCAAAGACAAAGGUUUAUUGUGGGAUGUAUGUCAUACAUUU